rnacentral:rRNA from 1 species
AAUUUUGGACAAUGGGGGAAACCCCGAUCCAGCAAUGCCGCGUGCAGGAUGAAGGCCUUCGGGUUGUAAACCGCUUUUGUACGGAACGAAAAGUCUUGGGCUAAUAACCUGGGACCAUGACGGUACCGCAAGAAUAAGCCCCGGCUAACCACCUGCCAGCAGCCGCGGUAAUACGUAGAGUGCAAGCGUUAAGCGGAAUUACUGGGCGUAAAGCGUGCGCAGGCGGUUUUGUAAGACAGUGGUGAAAUCCCCGGGCUCAACCUGGGAACUGCCAUUGUGACUGCAAGGCUGGAGUGCGGCAGAGGGGGAUGGAAUUCCGCGUGUAGCAGUGAAAUGCGUAGAUAUGCGGAGGAACACCGAUGGCGAAGGCAAUCCCCUGGGCCUGCACUGACGCUCAUGCACGAAAGCGUGGGGAGCAAACAGG